GUCUCAUUGGGCAAACUGGAUAAGCCGACCACCUUUAUAGAUUUUAUCCUUUAAAGUGGUAGACAUAAGUUCGAUUCUUAUAUGAGGCA
rnacentral:tRNA from 1 species